AUGCUGAUGAAAUUAAUUGGUCCCAAACUUACAUUGUAAAAUGUAUUCAGCUUACAGCUGAGG
rnacentral:snoRNA from 1 species